CAAAGAGAACUCAGAGAGCUCUGCUUUUACAUUUUAAGCACUGGUGUCAGUGAGCCUUGCCUGAAGCUGUGUUAUAUUGCAAGCAUGUUUGAGAUGAUUUGGGCUGCUGUUCUCUCUAGAUAACAUUGUCAGGGCUGAACAUGUUCAUCCCUAAAGAAGCUCAGAGGCCACUAUUUAAGGGUCAGCCAGAGAAACAGAAGCACAUGGAACCUGUAGAAGUUUCAAGGAGAACCCAGGUGCCAUCAGCUUCUGUCAUGACAGCACAGGAUGCAAGAUGGGGCCAGAAUAAUUUCAAGCUCCCUCUCGCUCCAUCAAGAAUCUACUAGGCUGACAUUUUCCAAGCUUGGAGUCUGCCCAGAAAGAGAAUUUUUUGGAAAGCUGAAGAAACUUUCCCUUCAGCUCAGCAGUGCAGUUUUAAUAAGGGUCCUUCACACAAGCCCAGUAAAACUUGACGCACUGGAACCAAAACCAACACACAUUUUGGUGCCUACUGCUGCAGUCAGGAUGCAGAGAGGGGACAAAAGAAUUAUUCAGCCUGAAUAAGGCCAUUGGACCUAGCAGGCUAAGUUCUUCCAUGCUGUAAGCCCUUGCAAUGUCCCCAAAGCCAAUGGGAUUACACAGUUUUCCACCCAGGCUGAGUGAAGCCGGCUCUCUUCCUGUGAGUGAGCAGCUCAGACUUUUUCUCAUCAUUCUCCCUUUUAUUUAAAGAUUUGUUUUCUGUAGCUGGCAGGCUCUCUCUUUGAAGCCUUCAACCCAUAGAGCAUUCCCCUGUUGCAAGUUUAAAAUGCUUUUGUGCCACACAGGCUGCUGGUCCCUCUAUAUGGGGCUCCAUGAAUACUCCUUGCCCCCCUUCACCUCCUCCCUCCCACAUGCAAGUCUCAGCUAAGGUCUUGCCUCUCUAUUUCUCCAUCCCAACCAUUUCACAACUUCAGGCAGAAAGUUGGCUGUCUCUACAUCUGUAGUGCAGAAAAUGAAGUGUAAUUUUAGGAAGGAACAAAGGGGUUGGGGUGGAAGGUAGUGUAUAUGCUCCUUAGAAACCUACACAGAUCUAAAAUAAAGAUUGGAGGAAGAGGAACACCUUCCUCACAGAACAAGCCUUAGCUGCUCUGAGAGCUGUGUGAAAGCCAAGAGUCAUAAGUGAAAUGAGCAGUGAAGAAAAAGGACUUAAAAUGCAGGUCACAAGUGGUCUAGGCAGAAACAGGCAGAGCACCCAAACCCAGGGGUGCUCCAGGGAUUUCCUAGCGGAAUCAUAACCCUGUCCUGCAGACCUGUCCUAGCUGAGCUGGCCCUCAAAGCCCUGGCUCUGACAGUCUUCUCCUCAUCCAACUGCAGCCCACCUCUUCCCCUUUACCCCCCAGUGCUGCACAAAGCUGGCUGAAGAUAAACCCAAACCCUUACUGGGCUCACCACUGGAGAAGAGUCAGUACCAAGGAGAAGCAGAGCAGGAGCAUCUCUCAGCGCCAGCAGACUUUUGGGGAGGUGCUCUGUUGUAGUGGAGCAGAAAGAGAAGUGCUCUCCCUACCGCAGCUCAGUGCACCUGUGAGCACAGGAGAGCUUCUCCCAGACUGCAGCACUGGAAAGUACUGGAUUGACUGCAAGUUCUCAAAUCUGACAGGGUCUUGAAAGACAACCAAGAAGGCACUAUCAUAGGAGCAAGGGAAAUGUAACACUGAAAUAAUGCUAUCAGGAGGAAAACCCUGUGCAGGGAGAGUAUGACCCUCCCACAAAGAUUUGGGGGUGGGGGGUGGGUGUAAUUAAAAAGUAGUAGAGCUUUUGUUUCUACUCCCUUGCACCUUUUUCACAAUGAGCCAUGCUUCAAAAGAAGCAGUCCUUCUUCCCUCACA